rnacentral:rRNA from 1 species
GAUGAACGCUAGCGGGAGGCCUAACACAUGCAAGCCGAGCGGUAUUGUUUCUUCGGAAAUGCGAGAGCGGCGUACGGGUGCGUAACACGUGUGCAACCUGCCUUUAUCUGGGGGAUAGCCUUUCGAAAGGAAGAUUAAUACUCCAUAAUAUAUUGAACGGCAUCGUUUAAUAUUGAAAGCUCCGGCGGAUAGAGAUGGGCACGCGCAAGAUUAGCUAGUUGGUGAGGUAACGGCUCACCAAGGCGAUGAUCUUUAGGGGGCCUGAGAGGGUGAUCCCCCACACUGGUACUGAGACACGGACCAGACUCCUACGGGAGGCAGCAGUGAGGAAUAUUGGUCAAUGGGUGCAAGCCUGAACCAGCCAUCCCGCGUGAAGGACGACUGCCCUAUGGGUUGUAAACUUCUUUUGUAUAGGGAUAAACCUACCCUCGAGAGGGUAGCUGAAGGUACUAGACGAAUAAGCACCGGCUAACUCCGUG